rnacentral:rRNA from 1 species
UACGUAGGUGGCGAGCGUUGUCCGGAUUUACUGGGCGUAAAGAGCCCGCAGGCGGCCUGGCAAGUUCUGGGUGAAACCUCCCGGCUCAACUGGGAGGGUGCCUAGAAAACUAUCAGGCUUGAGGCAUGGAGAGGGAUGCGGAAUUCCUGGUGUAGCGGUGAAAUGCGCAGAUAUCAGGAGGAACACCGGUGGCGAAGGCGGUUCUCUGGGCAUGUUCUGACGCUGAGGAGCGAAAGUGUGGGGAGCGAACAGG